UACACUUUAAAAAACAACAUCCACUCAUCCACAACACUCAUAUGCAUCCUGCCUGGAAAAAAAAGAGCAAGUGCAAGAGGUGAGAGCAACACUUAAACAACAGAAUGUCUGUGGAGUCCCUCUUGUCAGAAAGCCUGUCAGAAGAAAGUUAUGACAGCGCUGAAGAGAAGUGUACGGAUGAAGAGGAGGCUGAGGACAGUGAGGAAUACUUUCUUUUAUUCUUGGACCUGAUGUCCUUUGAGCACAUCCAUUACAACAACGCAGUUAUAGAUCAUGAGGUGCAGAUGGAGAGGGACGCACACAUGGAAUGGUGUUCAGAGGAUUUGUGGAUGGCAGCUGAAGUUGACUCAACCUUUUCGUUGUCCUCCUCGGAGGACAGCUGCCAAUACUCUGAUGCCUCACCUCUGAACCAACGUGAGCAGUUCAAUGACUCCUCCUCCUCCUCCUUCUCUUCCUCCCCCUCAUAUACAAACAGUUCAUCCCAAGACUGAAGGAAGUGAGGAAUUGAAAAGCACGGACAAAAGUGGAGAAACAUCCGACUCGAGUUAAAAGAAGUCUGAUGAAAAUCUCUAAGUGACAUUACAAUGAACCAGGGUGCUAGGAAAAAAGGGAAUUGAAUAAAAAAAUUGUUUCUUUA